GACGAACGCUGGCGGCGUGCUUAACACAUGCAAGUCGAACGGAAAGGCCCUGCUUUUGUGGGGUGCUCGAGUGGCGAACGGGUGAGUAACACGUGUGCAACCUGCCCUUGACUUUGGGAUAACUUCAGGAAACUGGGGCUAAUACCGGAUAGGAGCUCCUGCUGCAUGGUGGGGGUUGGAAAGUUUCGGCGGUUGGGGAUGGACUCGCGGCUUAUCAGCUUGUUGGUGGGGUAGUGGCUUACCAAGGCUUUGACGGGUAGCCGGCCUGAGAGGGUGACCGGCCACAUUGGGACUGAGAUACGGAGCAGACGGCUACGGGAGGCAGCAGUGGGGAAUAUUGCACAAUGAGCGGAAGCCUGAUGCGGAAACGCCGGGUGCGGGAUGACGGCCUUCGGGUUGUAAACAGCUGUCGCCUGUGACGAAGCGUGAGUGACGGUAAUGGGUAAAGAAGCACCGGCUAACUACGUG
rnacentral:rRNA from 1 species